UGUCUAUUUAGAUCUUGCCACAGACCAUUUUCUUGCUGCUGAAUGACCUUCUCUCUUGUUCCUACAUGUUUUUUUGUCUUUGUUUUUGGGUUGUAGACUCUUUUUUUUUUUUUGGAUAUUACUCUUCUUUCCUGUUUUGGGUUACAGCACUUCCUUUGUAGCCUUGUCUGGUUUUGGCUUGAACUUUCUUUUUCUUUCAGGCUUAACAAAAUUGCAGUUUUGUUUUCAUUUUAUUCUCAAGCAUGAGUUUUGGGAUUGCAUUGGGUAUGAUUCCAUGAAAAUCUCAACCCUACUCUCAAUAGAAGAUCCAGAUAAUUACUCCUUUAGCACUAAAUUACUCAUACAGUUGCCCAUGCUAAUUAAUGCUCUAUUAUUUAUUAAAAGCAGGGGUUUUCACGUCAACAAUUUAUGAUGAGGAUUGUAUCUUUGAAGAUCCAACCAUUAAAUUCCAAGGUACCAAGUUGUAUUCACGCAAUUUGAACUUACUGGUUCCUUUCUUCGAUUGUCCAUCAAUUGGAUUACAAGACAUUGAGAAGGUUAUUCAAGUCAAUCCUGAUAUAUUUGACAGUGAGAACUAUUUUAGGAAACACAUAUUUAAAUCAUCACCCCAGCUUAUAGUCCAAACAGCAUAGUUUGGGAACUUUGGUGUAGUGAUUGAGAACUGGCUGGAUAAAGCUGUUUUUAUUUAAUAACUUCUCUUUCCUGUAUAGAAUGUCAAGUUCUUUGAUCAAUUGCCCAAACUCAACAUACUACUUUGAAAUCUGUCAUAAAGUUCGUGUUUUUGCCUCAAGUGUUUCAGUGCUUGCUUCAAAGGAAAUUUUAUUAGCUGGGGGUUUUGUACCAAAACAAGAAUAUACCCCCUUGGUUUCACUCCCUUAAGCCGAAUUAAAUAUAUCUUUAAUUGUUAA